rnacentral:rRNA from 1 species
CCUACGGGGGGCUGCAGUGGGGAAUAUUGGACAAUGGGCGAAAGCCUGAUCCAGCCAUGCCGCGUGUGUGAAGAAGGCCUUCGGGUUGUAAAGCACUUUCAGUGGGGAAGAAAGCCUUGGGGCUAAUACCCUCGAGGAAGGACAUCACCCACAGAAGAAGCACCGGCUAACUCCGUGCCAGCAGCCGCGGUAAUACGGAGGGUGCGAGCGUUAAUCGGAAUUACUGGGCGUAAAGCGCGCGUAGGCGGUCUGAUAAGCCGGUUGUGAAAGCCCCGGGCUCAACCUGGGAACGGCAUCCGGAACUGUCAGGCUAGAGUGCAUGAGAGGAAGGUAGAAUUCCCGGUGUAGCGGUGAAAUGCGUAGAGAUCGGGAGGAAUACCAGUGGCGAAGGCGGUCUUCUGGACUGACACUGACGCUGAGGUGCGAAAGCGUGGGUAGCAAACAGGAUUAGAUACCCCGGUAGUC